UAAUACAGAGGGGGCGAGCGUUAUUCGGAAUUAUUGGGCGUAAAGGGCGCGUAGGCGGCUUUUCAAGUGACGGGUGAAAGCCCUCGGCUUAACCGAGGAACUGCCUGUCAGACUGGAAGGCUUGAGACCGGGAGAGGUGAGUGGAAUUCCCAGUGUAGCGGUGAAAUGCGUAGAUAUUGGGAGGAACACCAGUGGCGAAGGCGGCUCACUGGACCGGAACUGACGCUGAGGCGCGAAAGCGUGGGGAGCAAACAGGAUUAGAUACCCUGGUAGUCCACGCCGUAAACGAUGAGUGCUUGGUGUAGCGGGUAUCGACCCCUGCUGUGCCGAAGUCAACACAUUAAGCACUCCGCCUGGGGAGUACGGUCGCAAGACU
rnacentral:rRNA from 1 species